rnacentral:lncRNA from 1 species
GUGAAUCAUGCUAUUGCCAAUAAUAGGCAUGUGACAUAACUGAACAUUUCAUCAUCUUCAGUAAAUAAUCAAGAUGGGUUGAAUUACAAAGAAAGGAGAAAAUAUCCAUUGGAGGACUACUAUCAACCUCUGCCACAAUUUCUAUAUUUUCUCAACAUAUGAAAUUUUAAAGUAUACUACUAAAUUUUAAAAAUUAUUCGUAUUUAUAUUUUCAAUGGUAAAACUAUCGAGCAUUCUGUUAUUUGUGCCAAUUGUUUUACCAAAAAUUUUAGAUAUAAGAAGAGACAUAACACAAGGUGUUUCUAAUUGGAAAGUAAGUCCUGGAAAAAUUUAGGAAACAAGAGAGAUGUGAAACGUGCUUUAUGUUAUUGUGAUUUUGAA